rnacentral:rRNA from 1 species
GACGAACGCUGGCGGCGUGCUUAACACAUGCAAGUCGAACGGAAAGGCCCUGCUUGCAGGGUACUCGAGUGGCGAACGGGUGAGUAACACGUGGGUGAUCUGCCCUGCACUUCGGGAUAAGCCUGGGAAACUGGGUCUAAUACCGGAUAGGAGCCCUUUUUAGUGUGAUGGUUGGAAAGUUUUUUCGGUGUAGGAUGAGCUCGCGGCCUAUCAGCUUGUUGGUGGGGUAAUGGCCUACCAAGGCGGCGACGGGUAGCCGGCCUGAGAGGGUGGACGGCCACAUUGGGACUGAGAUACGGCCCAGACUCCUACGGGAGGCAGCAGGGGGGAAUAUUGCACAAUGGGCGCAAGCCUGAUGCAGCGACGCCGCGUGGGGGAUGACGGCCUUCGGGUUGUAAACUCCUUUCGCUAGGGACGAAGCUUUUUGUGACGGUACCUAGAUAAGAAGCACCGGCUAACUACGUG